AUUGAACGCUGGCGGCACGCCUAACACAUGCAAGUCGAGCGGCAGCAUGCUUAGUAGCAAUACUAAGUGAUGGCGAGCGGCGGACGGGUGAGGAACACGUAGGAACCUGCCCCAAAGUGGGGGACAACCAAGGGAAACUUUGGCUAAUACCGCAUAAUUCUCUGAGGAGAAAAGUUGCCCGCAAGGGUGGCGCUUUUGGAGGGGCCUGCGUCCGAUUAGUUAGGUGGUGAGGUAAUGGCUCACCAAGACGAUGAUCGGUAACUGGUCUGAGAGGACGACCAGUCACACUGGGACGGAGACACGGCCCAGACUCCUACGGGAGGCAGCAGUGGGGAAUCUUGGACAAUGGGGGCAACCCUGAUCCUGCGAUGCCGCGUGGGUGAAGAAGGCCUUCGGGUUGUAAAGCCCUUUAGGCGGGGAAGAAGGGUGUAGGAUGAAUAAGCCUAUGCUUUGACGGUACCCGCAGAAUAAGCACCGGCAAACUCUGUGCCAGCAGCCGCCGUAA
rnacentral:rRNA from 1 species